AAAUCCGGUUCACUUUAACACUGAGGCGUGACGACGAGGCACUACGGUGCUGAAGCAACAAAUGCCCUGCUUCCAGGAAAAGCCUCUAAGCAUCAGGUAACAUCAAAUCGUACCCCAAACCGACACAGGUGGUCAGGUAGAGAAUACCAAGGCGCUUGAGAGAACUCGGGUGAAGGAACUAGGCAAAAUGGUGCCGUAACUUCGGGAGAAGGCACGCUGACACGUAGGUGAAGUGAUUUACUCAUGGAGCUGAAGUCAGUCGAAGAUACCAGCUGGCUGCAACUGUUUAUUAAAAACACAGCACUGUGCAAACACGAAAGUGGACGUAUACGGUGUGACGCCUGCCCGGUGCCGGAAGGUUAAUUGAUGGGGUCAGCGCAAGCGAAGCUCCUGAUCGAAGCCCCGGUAAACGGCGGCCGUAACUAUAACGGUCCUAAGGUAGCGAAAUUCCUUGUCGGGUAAGUUCCGACCUGCACGAAUGGCGUAAUGAUGGCCAGGCUGUCUCCACCCGAGACUCAGUGAAAUUGAACUCGCUGUGAAGAUGCAGUGUACCCGCGGCAAGACGGAAAGACCCCGUGAACCUUUACUAUAGCUUGACACUGAACAUUGAGCCUUGAUGUGUAGGAUAGGUGGGAGGCUUUGAAGUGUGGACGCCAGUCUGCAUGGAGCCGACCUUGAAAUACCACCCUUUAAUGUUUGAUGUUCUAACGUGGACCCGUUACCCGGGUUGCGGACAGUGUCUGGUGGGUAGUUUGACUGGGGCGGUCUCCUCCUAAAGAGUAACGGAGGAGCACGAAGGUUGGCUAAUCCUGGUCGGACAUCAGGAGGUUAGUGCAAUGGCAUAAGCCAGCUUGACUGCGAGCGUGACGGCGCGAGCAGGUGCGAAAGCAGGUCAUAGUGAUCCGGUGGUUCUGAAUGGAAGGGCCAUCGCUCAACGGAUAAAAGGUACUCCGGGGAUAACAGGCUGAUACCGCCCAAGAGUUCAUAUCGACGGCGGUGUUUGGCACCUCGAUGUCGGCUCAUCACAUCCUGGGGCUGAAGUAGGUCCCAAGGGUAUGGCUGUUCGCCAUUUAAAGUGGUACGCGAGCUGGGUUUAGAACGUCGUGAGACAGUUCGGUCCCUAUCUGCCGUGGGCGCUGGAGAACUGAGGGGGGCUGCUCCUAGUACGAGAGGACCGGAGUGGACGCAUCACUGGUGUUCGGGUUGUCAUGCCAAUGGCACUGCCCGGUAGCUAAAUGCGGAAGAGAUAAGUGCUGAAAGCAUCUAAGCACGAAACUUGCCCCGAGAUGAGUUCUCCCUGAGACUUAGAGUCUCCUGAAGGAACGUUGAAGACGACG
rnacentral:rRNA from 1 species